AGGUUGUUGGUCCAGGUGUAGUUUGUGACGUAGUUGUACCUGUGGUUGUUGUUUCAGGUGUAGUUGGUGAUUCAGUUACACCUGUAGUUGUUGGUCCAGGUGUAGUUGGUGAUUCUGUUGUACCUGUGGUUGUUGAUUCAGGUGUUGUUGGUGAUUCAGUUGUACCUGUAGUUGUUGGUCCAGGUGUAGUUGGUGAUUCAGUUACACCUGUAGUUGUUGGUCCAGGUGUAGUUGGUGAUUCUGUUGUACCUGUAGUUGUUGGUCCAGGUGUAGUUGGUGAUUCUGUUGUACCUGUGGUUGUUGAUUCAGGUGUUGUUGGUGAUUCAGUUGUACCUGUAGUUGUUGGUCCAGGUGUAGUUGGUGAUUCAGUUGUAACAGUUGUUGUUGGUUCAGGUGUAGUUGAUG